UGCCAGCCGCCGCGGUAAUACGGAGGGGGUUAGCGUUGUUCGGAAUUACUGGGCGUAAAGCGCACGUAGGCGGAUCAGAAAGUAAGGGGUGAAAUCCCAGGGCUCAACCCUGGAACUGCCUUUGAUACUGCUAGUCUUGAGUUCGAGAGAGGUGAGUGGAAUUCCGAGUGUAGAGGUGAAAUUCGUAGAUAUUCGGAGGAACACCAGUGGCGAAGGCGGCUCACUGGCUCGAUACUGACGCUGAGGUGCGAAAGCGUGGGGAGCAAACAGGAUUAGAUA
rnacentral:rRNA from 1 species